rnacentral:lncRNA from 1 species
AUCGACUGGAGGAGAAUUGAUUCCAACUGAUCCUAAAAUUAAGCGCACCUUUCAUCAACUGCAAAGAGAGGCUAGAGAAGCAUAGUUACAAAUGGCUAAUGAACCGACAACCCUAUUAUCCCAGCCAAUGAAGGAGAGGCGGUAGAUGAAGAAAAUGAGAUUUUGGGAGAUUUCUUGACUCCUCAAGUAAUUCAAAGCCAAUUCAGCAUAGUGUAUCCACCGUUUGGGCAGCCUAAUUUUCAAUUGAAGACUAAUGUGAUACAGCUGUUCUAGAAUGGACACCAAUUUUAUGGAAGAGCCGAAGAAAAUCGACAUACACACAUAUCUCAAUUCUUGGAUAUGUGUCAACACUUUAUGUAUCAAGGAAUUUCAGAUGAUGCUAUUACACUAAGGUUGCUUCCACAUACAAUACGGGAUAGGGCACUUGAAUGGUUCGAUUCACUUCCUGUUGCAAGCAUUACUACUAGGAACGAGUUGGCUCAUAAAUUCUGCACGAAGUUCUUUUCGCCAGCCAAGAUAGCAAAACUGAGAUAUGAUAUAUCAACAUUCAGUCAAGGAGAAUCUGAAUCAUUUGACGAAGCCUGGAAUAGAUUUAAAAACAUGCUCCAGAAGUGCCCUCAAUAUGGAUUUAACAAAAAGACCUAAAUCCGAUUAUUCUAUAUAGGGUUACUUCCGUACCACAAAAGCAUGGUGAACUCAGCAUCAAAUGGCUCAAUACCCACACAAACAGUUGAUGGGGCAUUGGAAUUAUUCGAGAGAAUGGCUACCACUUUAGCCAUGUGGUCUUCUGAAAGGGUGAUCCUAAGGAAGACUUCGGCGGUCUAAGACAUAGAUUCUUAUUCGGCUAUAUAUGUAAAGAUCAACUAUCUGUAUCACAAGGUGGAAAGCAUAUCAAAGGCAGCACAAGCUAAGAAGAGUAACUGUGAGGAAUGUGAAGCUGAGCAUAAAACAACAGAAUGCCCAAUCUUAAUGCAAGGAAUUGAGCAGGUAGACUAUGCACAGUUCGUAUGGGAAAACAUACAAUCCCAAUUGGAAGAAGCAUCCCAACUUCUCUUGGAGCAAUUAGAAUCAGAAUAUGCCAUAGGGACAGUUUCAAUAGCAAGAGAAGAGGCUUCAAUUAGAAGAGAUAUUAGGGAAAUUCAUGGAAAAAACCGAAGCCACUAUUCAAAACCAAAAUGCCGCCAUCAAAAUUUUGGAGAAUUGGAUGGGGCAGCUAGCCAUUGCAUUGACUGGUAGAGCACCGGGUAAUUUGCCAAGUAACACAGAAAUUAACCCCAAGGUGUACGUUAAGGCCAUUACCGCUCGAAGUGGGGUGCAACUACCUGAAAUACAUGUUAAAAGGCCGUUGGUGUAUAAGAAUAGGUUUAAUACAUCUCAAGAGAGAGUGUUGGAUAGAUUUAAGAGCAUUGAUUCAUCAACAAUUCAAUCGCGUUGUCAUUUUGUGAAACUAGGGUUUAGGGUAAUCAUUGCAUAGGAAUUUGCAUCAUAGUGCAUUUAAUUUUCAUUGAAUACAACCAAUUUGCGUUCUAGACAAUUGAUUUGCAUUUUAAUUCGUUAAAACAUCGUUGUGCAUAUCGUGUUCAUUCCAAUCAUCAAUUUUGCAUAAUUAGGAUUUUCUUUCCAAAUUAGGGUUUCAUUUAGGUAAAAAUUUCACUUUGAGUAAUUUAGUUUGGUUAAGGGUACGAUAGAUAAGAUUGUACUAAUCAAUCUAUGUGGGAUGAUAUUUGAACUCAAUUGAUCCACUUUCUUACUUGUUAACGAACCGUACACUUGCAGUGAUUUAAAUCGAAAGAAAAUAUUUCGUAAACAAUUUCAAUUUCAGAAGAAUU